rnacentral:lncRNA from 1 species
CCCCGCUACGCCGCGGGCUUGGUACUUCUGUCCAUGGUGGCAGACGGGCUGAUGCAGUCUUGACUUGCGGUGCCUAUGGGGAAGAGUCGCAUACCCACGAGGUGAUUGGGUUGCGUAGAACGGGGCAAGCAGUGGCAUCCACGAACCAAGUAAGUAUUGCGGAUUUGCUCUGAUAGUUCUCGCAAGCGUCCACCAAUCUGAUUAGGUACUUAAGUUUAUGGAAAAAAAAGUGUUCUGAUUUGAAUUGCGUGGAUUUUAUUUAUUGUGAUUCAGUUCAACGACCUCUGAAACGGGGGAUAACAGCCAUAAGAUUACUUAUCACGAGGCUUUAGAUAUGAUGUGCUGCUAUCUGGAUUUCCAGGACGGCCUCUGGUGAAAAUUUUAAAAGGGACUAGUUAUAUGAUUUAUAUUCUUCUGUCUCUGGAAGAAUCUGGCACUACUGGGAAUAACGCAACUCAAUUUCAAGCAAAAAUUAUGCCUCUUUCCUGGCCUAUUGUACACGAAUGGUAAUGUUCAGCUUCAUCUUAUUCUGACAGCUCUGCUCUGGUAUCUUACUUGAUGCUGCUCGCCAUCCUAAGAUGCAUCAUACCAUAACUCUAGUAUGAAGAAAUGUGUCUCCCUGAGCAAAAAAAUAAGUUAAUAUGUGUACCCAACUUGAUACCAGUUUAGAUGUGCACAUUUGAUUCUAUAAAUUACUAAUACUGGACGUAUAUGGAUAUUAGUAUUUAGUAUUUUAUCUGAAAAAAACUCCCUUUGGGUUUUGCUAUGUAUUAGGUUCUAUGCAAGAUACUAUAAUAAGAUAGUAGCCUUUCUUUAAAAACUUGUCACAAUACCUUCAGAUUUGAACACCAUCAAUGUGCUUGGUCUGGAACCCAUUACUCUAGAGUAUGUGGUCAUCUCACAAAGUUGGUUAUUAUCAUAGGAUUUUUAUUCUUGACCAUGGGCAGGACUGUCAUAUAACUUCUUAAUUCAAAUGCUUUAUCUCCUCAGCUUUUAGGCCUUCACUAGAACCUUGUGUUUCAGCAGAGCUGUUGGGACUCAUGCUUUCUGUAUCCAAAUUGUAAACUGGAUCUUCGCUGGAAAAAAGAGAAAUGAAUUGUAGAUAUAAAAUUACUAGAAAAAAAAUGACAACUGCAGAAAUGUCUUGAGAGAAUAUCUUACAGUAUUUGACUGAAGUUCUGCUUUGGUGGCAUGUCCAGUUUGUGUAAGUCUCUUUCAAACAUUUCUAAAACCUUGGUUAUGGUAGGGCGAUGCAUAGGUAAAAUUUGGAUGCACCACAGACCAAUUAGAGUCAUCUUUCUGGCAAUUUCUUCUACUUCACUUGUGACUUCACAAACUGUAAUCCAUCGUGCUGGGCAAAGUGAUCAUAAAUCCAAUGUGGAAAAUACUUUUCACUUGAUUUUUGAACUAUUGAUUUCACAUUUUUCCUGCCUCCAACCAUCUCUAGCAACAUCAUUUCAUAACUAUACACAUUUGAUUCUGUUGAGACAACUCCAAAAGUUCGAGAGUGAACUUCAGGAGCAAUGAAUCCAAUUGUUCCUCUAGCUCCAGUCAUUGAAAACCUACUCUCCUUGGUAUGACACAAUUUAGCUAAACCAAAAUCAGCAAUCUUUGGGCAGAAGUCCUUAUCUAGAAGGAUAUUUUGAGGUUUGAUAUCAAAGUGGACAAUUCAUGUAUUUCAACUAUGAUGCAAGUAUUCUAGACCGUGAGCAAUCCCAAUUGCUAUUGUAUAGAGCUUUUGCCACCCUAAAGUUUCUUUGGGCUUGUCAGAGUAAAUGUACUGAUCUAGAGAACCAUUAGGCACGUACUCAUAUAUAAGUGCUCUUUUUGAGUGUUCCAAACAAAAGCCAAAUAAGUUAACGAUGUUGACGUGGGAUGUCCUUCCAAUGCUCAUAACCUCAUUUACGAGCUUGUGCUCCUUGUCUUUUCACCAAGGAGAAACCAUAGUCUUUUUACUGCCCUCUUCCGUAUCAGCACACAAAUGCAUGGAAAGAGUAAACUUGCAGCUGCUGCCACCAAAACUGAGAUUAACGCAGAUGUUAUUUACUUCAUAUAUAAACAAUAAAUGUCUGUAGUAUAUUUUAUAUCAUUUUUAUUCUUUUUCAAGGAAUGAGUCCAUCCAUGAUCCCUCAACUCUUCUCAUGGUCUAAUUUUCAUUGCCCUCUUAAAAACUUGUUAUAAUACAUUAACUAUUAAAACAAUACAAGUCUUUAUAAAAAAAACCAUGCAAAUCACAUCCCUAGACUGCCACAGCUUUUUGCCACAUUAGCUGCCAUGUUAUCAGCUUGGUUCACAUCAACAAUGCUUCUGCUUCCUUGGAUCCUUGUUCUGUACAGAGCAUGUCUAGACUUGAAGUGGCAGUUCACUGACGAUCUUACUUUUUACUACUAUAGACUAGAGAAGCUAGGGAGCGACAUAUACGUGAUCAUUAUUAGAUAUAGAUGGUGGACCACAUUAUUAUUGCCUUGGCUUGAUUGGGAGAGUCCUUAGUCUUUUUGUCCAGCCUGUGGGUCAAGCUUGGUGAAAAUGCUUCUUAAGUCUUAACAGUGGUUGGGGUGGGUUUUCAGAUGGAUCAAGAGUUGGAGAAGGUGUUUCACUCAGUAUGAGGAACCGAAGUUUCAUCAAGCGAAGAGUUGAAGGACUAUGGACAGACUUUUCGAUUUUUUAAACAGGUAUCAUAUUAUGCUCCAGACGAAGUAAUUACCAAUGAGAUGACAGCCUGAUUAAAAAAGAUUCUAUCAAGACAUAAUGUGAGUAUUAUUUACCUAUUAAUAUUAUGGUCCCAGUGUUAGUGGUCUUGCUUCCUGCAACAGACAUGCUGAGGUUACUAAUUUUGCACUCAAAUUAAGAAAACAUAUGCUUGAAACAUAAAUAUUUUUGAGAUAGCACUGCACUACAGAUAUGCGGUGAAUGAUGAUUUGCCUUGAUACUGAGCUGUCAAUCAUUAUGUACAAAGAUUUUUCAUAAGUCGUGCAUAUGUAAGCAUGCUUUUUUGUCUGUAUGUACUGAUAAUAAUACUAAGUGCACCGGUUGCUUUCACUUACCGGGCUUAUAGUCGUAUACAUAAGUAUUUUAUCGUGCUAUAGUCCUAACAUGUCCAACUAAUUUUGUCCAAACAGUCAAUACCACCAGUGGUAGCCGGGACGAGGUCUAACGUGCCGCUGCAGUUGUAGAUGAAGCAAAGGGCUCGGUUCCGGCGGCUAAUCGUGAAGGCGCGCUCGGCGAUGAUGCUGGCCGAUACGUUGAAGACUUGAAGUCGACGCGGCAGACACCAUCGUCGCCGGUGGUGAGCCUGGUGUGGGAGACGAUGAAGGAGUUGUUGGCGUAGUCGAUGCCGAGGACGUGGAUGGCAGAGCCAGGCUUUGUUUAGUUCGCAAAAUUUUUGGGUUUGGCUACUUUAGCAAUUUCGUUUUUAUUUGACAAACAUUGUCCAAUCAUGGAGUAACUAGACUCAAAAAAUUCAUCUCACAAAUUACAGUUAAACUGUGUAAUUAAUUUUUAUUUUUGUUUAUAUUUAAUGCUCCAUGCAUACGACCAAAGAUUCGAUGUGACGGAGAAUCUUGAAAAUUUUUACGAACUCAACCAGGCCUCAAGGAAGCGAAGCCGCUGCCAUCAUCACUACACCAGACCUGGAAGGCUGGAUGGCCUCAAGGUGACGAAGACUGGCUGAUGCCGCCGAGCCAGAACGGGUAUCUGACGACUGACGGUGAGGUUGCCACAUGUCGCCCGCUCGCAGUCUGCGUGCGCACGGUCGUGGAAUAGGAGCAAGAAGACCAAGAGCAGGGGGAGCAUUGACGCUGGGCGCAUGUUAAUUGAAGAGGGAAUUGGCCGGGAGUAGUAGCAUGAGUGCAGGACCGUCUUCGUAGUUUAUGUCCGAGUGAGAAAACAGUCGGCCAUUAGCAUUGACUAGUCUAUCCUAGUAUUUUAUAGAGCAGCUCCAUUAGACCAAGGACCAAGGUUCUAAAUCUGUAGCUAUAACCGGCCAUUGGAUGUAUGUAUAGUUUAGCUGUGAGCUGCCGUUAUAGGCAACUAUUUGAUGUUUUUAGAGGUAGAUCGCUAAAUGCCUUAGGGAUUUAAAAUGCUGAUUAGGAUACAUAUGUGUAACCUUUUUUUUAACCUUGUAUUUGUCUGAACUUUUUUGCUCUAAUAAAUCAACUAUAGGGGCUUCGGCCCCUCCACACCCUUAAAGCAAAAAUAUACGAACUUAAUCCUAGAAAGAAAAGAGGAAGAAUUAUAAUUUAGUCUGUUUGUAUGUGGACUCUUACCAAAACUCUUAGGCCUUGGCAAGACUAUAUAUACGUGGGAGUUUUAUGUUGUAACCACCAAUAUUCAGAGGAAUAAAGAAUAAUCUCUCUAUCUUAUGUCUAUUUGUUUUUCUACUUUCAUCUACUAUGUUGAUCAUGAGAGACGAAGAGGAAAAUGUCUCAACCGCUGGCAACAUGUUUUCUAACAACAUACUCCGACCGUGUCCUAUUUUUCAAAAACAGUGGCCACAUAAACCCACUUCAAGUGGGUCUUUAUUCGCGUACUAUGUCCUCGAGCCCUUAUUUCUAGGGCUUAUCUAUAUUUUUAAUGUUUUGGUAAUAUUUUCUCUCGCUUCCAUUUGUAUUUCGCCUGUAUGCAACUUUAGCCCCCACCAUUGUCCCUGAUUGGUGAUUUCAUCGCUGUGCAUCCUUCUCCACGAUGCUCUACUCUUGUGCGCUUAACUUUAGAGGUCCACCCCACGUGCCCUCCUCUCAACCUUCAACCUCUACCUCUCCUAGCGCAGCCUCAUCGUGGCAUGACCUCCUCUCUCAGUGUGGUGCACAACCUCGGUCGACCAGUUUCACUAUAAAUCCUAGCACCUGGACCGUGCCACCGUUGUUGUCCAUCCACUUUCAUAUCUGUUGACGCGCUUUCCCGACUUAGCAAUAGUGACCCGUGGCAAGCUACCGACUCCCUCCCGCACCGCAAUCGGGUGCGACAUUGUUUUCGGUGUGGCGAAAACGUGGAGCAAUUCUUUCCUUUUCACUACUUUGGUGGUCUAACCUGGUCAGUCAUUUUGCACAAGCGAAAUGACAACCUGGUUAGCCUGGUCCUCUCGUGGCGGCGGACUGCACCCUUCAACUUCUUCCUCUCCUCCUAGCACAACCUCAUUGUGGCACGACAUUCUCCCUUGGUGUGCUGCACAAUCUCAAUCGGCUGGUUUCACUACAAAUCCUGGCAUCUGGACCGUGCCGCCAUUGUUGUCCAUGCACUUUUAUAUCUGAUGGCGUGCUUUCCCCGACUCAACCAUAGUGACCUGUGGCAAGCCACCGACCUCUCCCACAUCUUCCAUCCGCAUGACACAUAGCCACUUUCCUUGUGGCAAUCUAGCAAGAUACAUCCACUAGCUUGCCUAAGGCGCGUUUCGCUAGGCCUUGUUGGGGUGCGGCUCCCUGUACCCGCAUGGAGGAAGAAGAAGACCGUGAUUUUUUUUUCUAGACACUAGCAUUUGGGGCCUAUCUCAAGGGUAAAUUAGUCCAUUCCAAUCAAAAUGUCCUUGUGUGGAUCUGGAGCUGUCAUGUAGUGAUGUAGCCAAAUACUUCCAUGGUGAAUCUCAGAUCCAAUAGUGGAGCUACUCCAUGGUGAAUCCCAUAUUCAAAUUCAAAUUUCUAGAGGAGGAGCUGUCCAAACAGGUCCUAAGACUGAGAAGAUGUGGAUUCUAGGGGUGUACGGAUUUACAUACAAUACACAAACAGUAGUGAGGAAUGCUAGGAAGGUUCUGAUUCUAAGGGUAAUAUUACAAGGUAUAAGUUGGCGCACUUUGUUGCGCACACGGCAGUGGCUACCUGCAGAGAGUUGCACUCUUUUGAUGUUAUGUGCCUGCAAAAAUUCUUGUAGCGAAGUGUGCGUGAGGAAUAGUACGGCGGGACAACCAUCUAUCGCGCACGGGGGAAUGCUGGCCUCCUCCACCGGCCACCGCAUACAACGGACCGAAUGCCUAGGGCCAGGCCAAGGUGUUGUUGCCCCAAUUGGUAACAGGCCUAGCCCACCAAAGCGCUCGGUACGUGCCAUCAACACAGAAAGCCACGCAUAUGCAGAGAGCACUCUUGACUCCCUGUACACAGAUACUCCUGCACUGCAGGUAUGGAUUUUUUUUUGAGAAUUAUACAUUAUUACGUAGACAUCUAUAAUAUACAUGUACACCUACCUCUAUAAACAAUAUCCCUGUAUGUAAGUACACAUACCAGGCUACUGUAGGAAUAUGUUGUGAGGCUAUGAAAAAAUUAAUGCCUAAUAUUGAUGGUAUAGCUUACUUUGCAGUAGAUGCCCAUAUACCAAAGCGUGGGUAAGCGUCGUAUUAUUAUUUUUUUAAUUUGUAAGGCUUAUCUCUUUGGCCUUUAGCGUGUCACUAUAAGCUUGUAUUGUCGUAGUACUGCUGGGACUUGUGCUUUCUGCAUUCAUAUUGUAAGCUAGGUCUUCGCUGAAAAAGAAAAAAAGGAAAGUAGUUGAAUGUAUCAAGAUGAAAAUGGCGGACAGGUACAUAAGUGAGUAGUAAAAAAUUAUCUUACAGCACUUGACUGAAGUUUUGCUUCGAUGGCAUCUCCAAUUCAUCUGAGCCACUUUCGAACAUUUCUAAAACUUUGGUUAUUGUAGGGCGAUGCAUAGGUAAUAUCUGUAUGCACCACAGGCCAAUCAAAAUCAUUUUUCUUGCAAUUUCCUCAUCUUCCUGUGCAACUUCACAAGCUACUAACCCAUCAUUUUGAGCAUAGUGAUCAUAGAUCCAAUCUGGAAAAUAUUUCUGACUUGACUUUUCAACCAUUACUUUUACAUUUUUCCUGCCCCCGACCAUCUCUAGCAACAACAUUCCAUAACUAUAAACAUCUGAUUUUGUCGAAGCCACUCCAAAUGUUCGUGAAUGCACUUCAGGAGCUAUAAAUCCAAUUGUUCCCCUAGCACCAGUCACUGAAAGCUUGCUCUCCUUGGUACGACACAAUUUAGCUAAACCAAAAUCAGCAAUCUUGGGGCAAAAAUCGUGAUCAAGAAGGAUAUUUUGAGGCUUGAUGUCAAAAUGGACAAUACGUGUGUUACAGCUAUGGUGCAAAUAUUCUAGUCCACGAGCAAUCCCAAUUGCUAUUGCAUAAAGCAUUUCCCAUCCUAAAAUUUCUUUAGGGUUCUCUGAGUAAAUGUACUUAUCCAAAGAACCAUUGGCCAUGUACUCAUAUAUAAGAGCUUGUUUUGACCCCUCCAAACAAAACCCAUAUAAGCUAACAAUGUUCACAUGUGUGGUCCUGCCAAUGCUCAUAACCUCAUUCACAAAUUCCUCCCCCUUUGCUUUGGAGUCAUGCAAGAAUUUCACUGCAACUAGGCGACCAUCAUUUAGUCUUCCUUUGAAAACAACACCAUAACCACCUUCUCCAAGCUUAUUAUUAUUUAUAGAAGAUGUUAUUUUUGUUGCUUCCGAGUACUUGUAUCUUUUUGGAGCUAGUGAUCCAUGCGAUGAUAUUAAGACCUCAAUGUUCCUUUUGUUUUUCCUGAUAGUCAUUUUACCAAUGAGAAAACAUGGUUUUUGCCCCUUUCUCUGACAUAUCAGCAGAUAAAUACAUAUGGAAGAAGCAAGGUUCCAGCCACUGCCAUCAAUACUGAAUUAAAGUACGUGUUAAUUAUUUGUUAUAUUAUGGACUGUUAAACUUCAAUAAUGAGAGUAAAUUUUUAAAAUGCAAGACCUCAAAAUUAGUAUUAGCAAGAUAAAACUCUCAAAUUUUGCUCCAAAUUCACCAGUCUUUUAAAGGCAUAAAGGUUGCUUCUUCUAAAUUUUAACAUUAACUUUAAUGUGGCACUUCUAUGAUCUUGCAUUGCAGAAAUUGAACUUUCAAAGUAAUUUAUAAUAUAUUAGAAUAAUUUUGUCACAACUGAAAUAUAUGGUUAAAUAUAAAAAGAUGGCUGAACAAAAUUAAUUACCUAUCAGCAUUAUCCUUCUGCUGCCAGUCCUCUUAUUACCUGGAAAAGCACAUAAUAUUAAUCAACAAAAAAACACAUAAUAUUCAGUUAACUCUAGAAAUUGACUGAAUUUUGUAAAAAGGACUAAUAUUUAUGACACAAAAUUAGUACAACACGAAGUGUAUUUUCGUACUAUACUUGUUUUUGUCAUAGAUGUUAAUACUUUUUGUAUAAAAUUAGUCAAACUUAAAAAAAGAUUGAUAUAUGACAAUUAUAAAAAGUUGGUUUAUUUUGAGUCAUAGAGAGCACAAUGUUAAUCAUGGAUUUUUUUGUAGACACCAUACAAAUUUUGAAAACUGGUGUUGACAGUAUGAUGUAAUAAUGGACAAAUGAUCCUAUAUAUUACUAAAAAGAGGAUCACCUACCCAGGAGGAGCUAGAUAAAUUUGCACACAGAAUGAAGGGUUGUUAUGCAUAAAUAAUCACUAUAAUCAUAGUGCACAGAUACCGGGAUGCAUUAGUUCAAUAGCUGUAAGUUCGUCAUAGUAUUUGGUCUCUUUGCGGUUUGUAUAGCAAAGAGAGCCAUGCAUUCUAGGAGCAACUUUAGCAUACCAUAGGCACCGAAUCCAAAAUUUAAAGGCUUAGGUAAAAAACAUAAUUCCAACAUGAUCUCUACUCAGGCCUCCAAAAGUAAGCACCCUAUUUUUCAGUUUCAGUUGUGUAUCACUCCGUCCCAUUUGAAACCACUCUUCAAGCCUGGCACACGUCACCGCCCGAUGCUCCACCCAACACAUCGCAGGCCAACACUCGACCACUCCUCCCCUAGCUGCCUGCUGCCCCACCUUCAUCUGGAGUCAGUGUGGAGAACAAGUGAUGGCAAGAUCACCUGCGCAGUCAUGUGUGUGUUGCUAGUCGUCGGUGUUGGGAGAGAUCAUGGAUCGAAUGGGGUCACCUCACCUGGCUAUUUCAUGGAGGCCACCACAACUAUCUUUUGUUGUUGCCGUGCUGGAUGGUGUGUUGAAGCGGUCAGAUAAGUCCCCGCUUUUGUCUCCAGAGCUGAUCAGUAGUGGUCACUCCAAUUUGACCCCUUUUUCCACAUCUACUUUGGCUCUAUUUGCUUGUCUUAUAAGCCGUAUUUUUUCUGCCAGUCAGCAAUGUUUUUCUUUUACAAUAAAUCAGCAAACAAUAUUUUUCAACUAUGACUUUUUAGAUAAAUAAACAGGUUUGUCUCCAUACUUUCAUUUCAAUAUUACAACAUCGACCGUUCACGAAAAGACAAAAAAAUUGGCUAUCCUGCGCGUGCCCGAUAAGCCUACACGCUUUCUAGAAUCUACUGUCUCUGUCCUAAAAAUUUGCUUUGGCUGUUCAAUUUGCAUGCUGCCGUCGUCUUGGCACCCUCCUACGUGGGAGGCACGGCGCCCUCCUCGCUGCCACUAUGUCGUCAUCACGUCACGGCCAUCGGUGUCGUGCGGCGUCGAUGUCGGUAUAGAUGGCCAACCGGGCCGUCCGGCACGGCAUGGGCACGAGCACUAUGCGGCACGGUGGCCCGCCAUAUGCCGUGCCUGAUAGUGCCAGCGUGCUGAAGUGGCAGCCCAGGCACAGCCCUAUCAGGGCUGGAGCGUGCCGUGCCGUGCCAUCAGGCACGGUGGCACGCAGUGCCCAUGCCGGCCCAAGCACUAAGCCAUCUUCGGCCAUGUCGUUGUCGUCGGAGUUUCCUCGGAGGUCGCGGAUCCUCUCCAUCUCUUCUUCCAUGGCAGUGGCACUAGCCUCCACCGUGUCUUCGGAGACAGAGGGCGGAGGCCAGGGCAGCACCCUCACUUCAGCUUGACCUGGCCUCAAUUGGCUUCCAAAAGAAGAGCAACAUCAGUAAAGAACUAGAGAUUGAAGAUGAGUCAAGAAUAGAGAAAAUCAGAGCUAUAGGGUUUCGUACCUAGACAGCACCGGCGAUGUAGACGGAGCUUUGGCCAGCACCGGAUCAGCAAAUCUGAAGAAAAUGGCGACGGUGAGUCAGAGAAGAAGAAGAAGAGCUUCGAGAAGAAGAGUCAUGGCCGGCGGCGAGUUAAGUUUCUAACCGAGCCCAGGCAGACCAAUCCAAGUUAUGAUGAAAAAUGAGACAGCACGGAGGGACACAAAAGCAAUGGUUUCGGAGGCAUUUCCAAUUCAUUUAAGUUCUUCUCCAACAUCUCUAUAACCCUGCUCAUAGAUGGACGAUUUUCUGGAGUCGUUUGUAUGCACCACAAGCCAACAAGGGUCAUCUGUAUUGCAAUCUCUUCUGUCUUGCAUGUGACUUCAUGACUUUGUAAAUCUUUAACCAAACGGUCAUGAACCCAGUUUGGAAAAUAUUGUUGACUAGAAUUCUCAGUGUCUUCUGUAAGAUUCUUCCUUCCUCCUGCCAUUUCUAACAACAUCAUUCCGUAGCUGUAUACGUCUGACUUGGUGGACACAACUCCAUAACCCCUUGAAAAUACCUCUGGAGCAAUAAAACCGAUGGUACCUCUUGCUUCAGCCAUUGAAAGGGCACUAUCCUUAAGAUGACACAGUUUUGCCAAUCCAAAAUCUGCUAUUUUGGGACAAAAGUCUUCAUCUAGAAGUAUGUUAUUUGGCUUUAUAUCAAAAUGGAUGAUCCGUGUAUUACAGCCGUGAUGCAAAUAUUCCAAGCCUCGUGCAAUUCCUAUUGCUAUUUCUCGCAACUUUUCCAAUCCAAUGGCCCCUUUUGUUUCUUCUGAUUGUAUAUACUUCUCCAAUGAACCAUUAGCCAUGUAUUCAUAAAUAAGUGCUCUGUUAGGUCGUAAACAAAAACCAAGCAAUUUGACAAUAUUUACAUGAGAUGUCCUACGGAUACUUGCAACCUCAUUCACGAAUUCCUCUCCAUUUCCUUUUGAUCCUUUCAGUAGUUUCACGGCAACCUUCGGGCCAUCUUCUAAAGUCCCCUUAAAUACUGUGCCAUAGCCGCCUUCUCCUAACCUAUCUUUGAAAGAUCCAGUUAUCUUCUUUACCUCUGAGUAUUUGUACCUUUUUGGAACGAGGGAGUCAUAUCCUUUUAGUAUUUCCUCUAUAUUUGAUUCAUAGCCUUUGUACUUUUUUCUCUUCUGGCGGUACAUUAUCCAAACAAGGGACGUAAGAAUCAAGCUGGCUGUAGAGGACAAGGCAACUGAAACAGGAUAUAUCAUGUUAUUACACACCAAUUUGUAUUGGAAAAACGCAAAUUAAUGCUUGUUUUAUCGUCAUUACAAAGAUAAGAUGCACCACACUCUUUGUUCUGGAAUAAUAAGUAUAUUUUGAUGAGGGAAAAAUCAACUCAUUAGAUUUUGACCCUUAGUUUCUCUUACUAUAUGUUUUUUUGGACAACAUCUCUCUUACUAUAUGUUAUCAUUUGUAAUCUCCGAGUCAUUUCGAACAUAAAUCUAUCGAUACAAAUUUUAUAUCAUAGACUUGACUAACUUUUGGUCAAUGUUUAUAAAUUUGACAUUGCCCUGUACAAACUACAUUUAUCAUUCUGGGACGGAGAAAGUAAACAAUAAUCAAGAAAUAUAUAAGGAAAUGGAAUAGUGCUGUAGCAAAAAGGAACGCAGGAGUGAUAGCAUAUAUGCAUCAGCUAACUGAAUAGCAGGCUGCUCAAAUAAAUUGAUCUGUUAAAAAACAUACCUAUUAAGAUUAACUUCAAGUUCUGUUUCUUCCUUGGAUCUGCUAAAAAAAUUAUAAAAUUGUAUCAAACCAUCGGACAAAAAAAUAUAUGAUAAGAGUUUUUUCUUUUUGAGGAAAAAGGCUGAGUUGAUUAUUUUUUAUUAUGUUGAGGAAAUGUAAUGUUAGCAAGAGUUGCAAAAGUGAUAAACUGAUAACAUAAAAAACAUGCAUGUUAUUUUUUUCAUUCAACAUCGACUGCUAUUUGAGAUAAUCUCGUGGAAUUCAUAUUUUAUUCCUCAUGAUUUUAGAUUUAAUAGGUACUUUGGUGUCUUAAGUCUCACCGGAUAAUACCACUAAAAUACUAUUGUCUUUGAUUAAAUUUGUUACUGCUCAGAUGGUUCUCUUGACUAAUGAUAUAUCAUUUCUCUUAAUUGUACGAGGGAGCAUAUGUUUCUUUUACACAAAGAGAUUCCUCUAAAGUCUAAAUAGCAUCAUUGACACAAUUGGACAAGUCUCUCAGUUGCGAAAAGCGCGCAAAGAUUGCCUUGGGAGUGCUAAUGUAGACAUAAUUUGGAAGCUAGGAGUACUUAAGUUGACAAGUACAGUCUAAGUUUUUUUCGCAAACUCACUCCUGAUCGUGGUACUUACAAAUUGCAUGUUUGGAUCCCUAAACUUAUGUCGAGUUCAGUCAUAGUACUUGCUUUGCACACUCAACUCCCUAAAGUUGCACUAUUAUACCAUUCUAGUUUAUCCACCCCUACACCUUACCAUCCUCGCCCUUGCCACACCACACACACUUGCCUCAUCUUUGCAACCAUGUGGCGCUACCACAGUCAUAAAAGUUCUUGUUAUGUAGGUAUGAGGAACGGGAUACGUGGGACAUGGAUAGCCAAUUUCAAGUUCCUGGUUCGUAGGGGGUAUACCUCUUUGGGAUGUUUGGUUCGAGGAUGGGAUCAUGAUCCUUAGAUAAUUGGGACGGCAUAACCCGGAACAUAGCUAUGGAUCAAGGAUCGUGAUCCCAGUACAUUUGAGUCGAUAUAAAUAUAUUUAUAAGUCCCAAUUUGGCAUUCAUAAAGAUAAACUUAUAUGCUAAUUAUAGAUAAAAACUUCAAAUAGACCGUGCCAUUUGCCGUGACCACAUGUCUGUGCUCUAUAGUAGCACAACUUCUUCAUCACAAGUUUGCUGGUAUAGCCCGUUGAUCUCCCUGAAUCCUAAUGCUAUAUGCAAGUUUACAAGAUAAGAAACAUUAUUAAUAUUUAUUGCUAAUAAGAAAACUCAAACAUAUCACUUUCAGCUUAGUAUAUUGCUAGUAUUUACCCUCAGAUAUUAGAAUUUUUAGGAUCUACAUCCUAGUUGGCAUGUGCUCUGUUUUUGUAGCUCUUAGUGGCCCUUGACAAAAGAUGCAAAUUAUGGUGGAUAUAUAGACUAGUUUGUCAGCUAUUUUUACAUUCAGCUUGUUUCUCUUUGGUCUUUGGGUGUAUCCGUAGGUACUCCAAAGUCUCUCUUCUGAUGAACUUUUGAUAGGUUUGGAAAGAACUCUCGCUGCCCCACUGCCAAAUUUGGGGCCUGGGCACCAUAGGUGAACCACCAUUUAAUUGGUUCCAUUGUGCUCGCAUCAAGUUUAAGAUUGCAUGCUCACGGUCUAAAUCUGCUAUUUGAUGUAAAGAUUCCAUUACCCAUUCCAUAACCUCUAAAUCUUCAUUUGGUGGUUUCCUUGGAAUGCCCCAAGGAGCAUCCUUUUCAAGAUAUAUUCUAUCAUAGAAGAUAUACUCAUGGAAUCGUGGAGAGAGUGCAUAAGCAAGACACUCAAGCCGAGUAUUCAUCUUUUCCCGUCGUGAACAAGUUAUAUCUUCUAUUUCUGAGUAGUCAUUUUUGUGCGGGUUAUCAUCAUUAUCCAUUAUAUAUAUUCUAUUUUUUAGUAGUCAUUUUUUGUGUGGGUUAUCAUCUUUAUCCAUAGUGCCUUUGAUCUUUCCAACCAUAUUAUCCAUUCUUUUGAAGAUUUCUCCUAUUUUGGAUCUUCUCUAUCACAAAAAUUUAUUACUUGGAAAAUGGGCUCUGUGAUGCCUGGUAUAGUUUUCACCUCAUUUGAGAAGUUGUCAUCAUUGAUUGCUUUAACAAUAGCCUUGAUUUGCAUAUUCUGAGCAUUGUGCAACCUUUCAUCCAAUCUUUCUAUUGCUUGGUGACUACUGUGGCAGCAAGUGCUUCUAUGCAAGCAAUCAACAUGUUGUAAUUUGAAGCAAAUCGAGUCUGUCCCACCAAUUUCUUUGUAACGAAAGUACUAUGGAAUUUAUUGAAUGGAACACCAAUUAGUGACCAUGCACUUGAUUUGCUUCAAAUUAAAUUAUGUUGGACAGGUUGAUUACUUGUAGAGAAGCACUUGCACCACUGUAGUCACCUAGCAAUGGAAAAAUUGGAUGAAAGGUCGCGGCAGUGUCGCAGUGAUCGGAAUAUGCAAACCAAGACUAUUGUUAAAGCAAUAAAUGAUGACAACUUUUGGAAUGAGGUGGAAACUGUCCUAGCCAUCAUGUGAGCCCAUUUUCUCAGUCCUAAAAUUCUAUCAUGGAGAAGGUCCAAAAAUUGGAGAAAUCUAUGAGAGAAUGGACAACAUGGUUGGAAGAUCAAAGACAUUAUGGAUAAAGAUGAUAAACCUGCACAAAAAAUGAUUAUUAGAAAUAGAAUAUAUAUAUAUAUAUAUAUAUAUAUAUAUAUAUAUAUAUAUAUAUAUAUAUCCACGGUUCUAUGAUAUAGUAUAUCUUGAAAAGGAACAUCAUAGGGGCAUUCAAAGAAAACCACCAAAUGAAGAUUUAGAUGUUAUGGAAGGGGUAAUGUAAGCUUUAUGUCGAAUAGCAUUAAGAUUGUGAGUGCAAAUCUUAUGUUAGCAAUUUAAUGAUUUUGUUAUGAGAGGGAAUGUUUGCACUUCCUGUUGUUAAACUUGAUGCGGGCACAAUGGAACCAAUUAAAUAGUGCUUUAGCUAUGGUGCUCAAGCCCCAAAUUUGGCAGCGGUGGCAGCAAGAGUUCUUUCCCAACCUAUCAGUAGUUCAUCAGAGACUUUAGAGUACCUAUGGAUAGAUCCAAAGCACAAAGAGGAACAAGCUGAAUGUAAAGACAACAAAAUAGUACAUAUCCACCAUAAUUUGCACCUUUUGUCAAGGACUACUAAGGGCUACUGAAGCGAAGCACAUGCCAACUGGAUGUAGAUCCUGAGAAUUCUAAUAUCCACAGGGUAAACACUAGUUCAAUAUACUAAGUUGAAAGUAAUCUAUAUGAGUUUUUUUAUUAGCAACAAAUAUUAAUAAUGUUCCUGACCUUGUAAACUUGCAUAUAGGAUUAGGAUUCAGGAAGGUCAACUGGCAACCAGCAAACUUGCGAUGAAGCUGUGCUGCUGUGGAGCGCGGAGCCGCGGACAUGUGGUGAGGACAGAUGGCGCUGUCUAUAUAUUUGAAGUUUUUAUCUUUAAUUAGCAUAUAAUGAUAUAAUUGUAUCUUUACGAAGAAUGUCAAAUUCAGUAUUAUAUAACAAAAUCCAGGAUUAAUGUUUUUUUCUCCAAUCCGAAGUACUCCAUGUCUCCAACACAAGGUAUAGACGACGCUUACCACGAGAAGAAGUCGACGAAUUGACGCAUUGGAAGGAAAGCUCGAAGAACCUGCACUGCCCUCCUUUCCGUUUGCACGCAUCGCAGUCUCCAAGCGUCGGCCAGUCCAGGACGAAACCAUCGCUCAUCAAUCGCUCGUAGUCACGAGUCAGGUUCAUCCCAUCUUGGAACCCGCGCACCGGCACGCUCGCGGAGGUGCAGUUCGCCUGAACCCACUGCGGCGGCAGGGUGCUCUGCAGCUCGUCGGCCGGCCUCUCGGAGAUGUAAGCUCCAACUCCGUGCUUGGAACAUGGCCCCGUCAGCUGCUCGUUAUGAGGAAUCUUGCAGUUGUAGACGAAGGUGAGGUCGUCCCUGUUGGCGGCGCUGAUGUUGACCGGUAAGAGGCCGAGGCUAGAGGACACGUUGAAGUCCGGGAUCUUACACGCCCCGUCGCCGGAGAAGGCGGUCUCCACCGCCACGACCAUGGAGCGGUUGCCGUAGGAUAUGCUGAGCACGCGGUAGAGGUUCACCCUGAACGUCCUGCUGAGGUACGUCCUGCCAGCAGCGGCGUCGCAUGUCAGCCCGAAGGACGGGUAGCCGCACUCCAGCGGAUGCACGCCGGCGAGGGAGAACGGGUACGUGACGCUCAGGUUCCCGCAUCUCGCCGGCGCGCAGCUCGUGUCGUUGCCGCCGCUGGUGGUCCGGCUGGUGUCGGCGUCGGCGUCGGCGGUGACCGUGGCCGUGGCUAAGCCUAAGCGCAGCAGCAAGGUGGAGAGAGGGAGCAGCAGCGCCACCACCACCACGGCAGGCUGCAUCGGGAGAAGAAGAAAUCUUGCUCGCGUCUGCGCGGUGGGAGGAAUUGUGGAGGUUGUGAAAAAACAAAACAAGGGUGUUCCGGUCAGCGCUCAGCGGUCAAGGUCGCCUCACGGGUCCGCGUUACUUGGACUGGAUUUUUUUUUUUUUACAGCCUUGGACUGGAAUUUGUUUCAGCCUUUCAGGAAGAGUACCGCCGUGCACUUUGACUUGUCACAGCUCUACGGUCAGGGAGCCUUGAACGGUCGUGAUGGAGCUUUUUGGACUAUGGAUGUAGGGAUCUUCGUGCUCCGGCUCCCACAGCCAUUUUUCCGGUUGCUUUACUAUUUAUUGGAGCUAAAUUUCUCUCUCUUCCCUCUUCUUUUUACAGAGCUAAUUGAAGGUGAAGCUAAAAUUUUUGACUCUAAUACAGCUUCUUGUGUCAGUGAAAGAGAGGAAGAUGAGAGAGAAAAAUAGAUUCUAUCUGCAGUGAAGCUAUAGGAACUGUGUCAGCUCAAGCUGGAGCCAACUGAAUCCAUACCAAAGAGACCCUUAACUUUGUGUGACUGUUCAAUAGUGCACAUUGAUGAAAAGGAGGACGAACUGAUGGGGCUUUUGUCAGAUAUCAGUAUAUGGAGUGCUUUACUAACUAAGCUCGGAACUGUUUCACUAGUCUUAAUUCCACCCCUCUCAAUGUGUCUUUUAGAAGGGCACUAGUUGGGAACAAGUUGUUGGAAUGGCAAAGUCUAGUUGCGAGAGUUGCUUUUAUUAAUUUAAAUGAGGGUCGGGAUACUUUCGUCUGGAACUUAAAUAAUAAUGGCUUAUUUUCUGUUAAAUCCAUGUACAAAUACCUAGUUAAUAAUGGGAUUAAGGUUACUCAGGAAAUUUGGCAUAUGAAAGUGCCCUUGAAGAUUAAGAUUUUUCUUUGGUUCUUAAAAAAGGGGGUGGUACUCACAAAAGACAACCUUGCUAAAAGGAAUUGGAAUGGGAGUAAGGCUUGUUGUUUUUGUAGCACACCUGAAACUAUCCAACACUUGUUUUUUGAUUGCCAUUAUGCCAGAUUUCUUUGGCGUGCCGCAUUUGUUUUGUUUGGUAUUUUUCCUCCAAGGAACGUGAACCAUCUUUUCAAUAGUUGGUCAAAGUUAGGAGGAUCCAAUCAUAAUCAUCUAUUAUUAACUGGGGCUGCGGCGUUUUGCUGGGCAAUAUGGAUCACAAGGAACGAUAUGAUUUUUGACAAAGGUCACCCAAAAACUUUUUUGCAGGUUCUUUUCAGGGGGACACACUGGUUACGAUUUUGGGCUCUGCUGCAGUGCUCGGAUGACGACAAGGAACAGAUUCGUGACGCUUGCAAGCUACUAGAAUCGAGAGCCAUGGAGUUCUUCGCAUCGCAUGGAUGGUCUUUCAUUUACCGUCUUAAACAUUAAUUCUGAAUCUGUAAUAAGUUUUAAUUAUGGGUGUGCUACUGUAACAAAUUUGGACUGAUGCUUCUUCUUUUAAGAAGAAGGCUGAAGCUGGAAUUUUCCAUUAUCUAAAAAAAAGUCUUCACAUCUGUUUUCUGGGUGGGAGUAAAGCUUCAUUUCCGCAAAAUGCAUGUGGAUAGCGUUUGCCAGUGUCGACUCCGGAGUCCGGAGUCCCGAGGGUGCUGCCGAGGAUAGGAUUCAGACUUGAUGCAUCACACAACCUAACGUAACGUCCAGGCAACACGUGAAAUAACAGCUUUAACUAGCUAUAAGUGGUAUCUUUUUUUUUUUAAAGAUCCGGAUAUUGUCCGGCUUUGACUAAUAAUAAGGAGGAAGAGUAAAACAUCCGUUUAUAAGUGGUAUCGUGGUAACACCCCUUUCAGUUACGUUUUCCUUGUUUUUCAUUUCUUUUUUUUUUUAGUUUCCCUCUGGCUUUACUCUUUCCUUUGUAAGUUUUAACUCCUUUGAAUAAAUUUUCAGUAGGGGCUCACACCCCUCCUGUGUUCCUCAAAAAGUGGUAUCGUGGUAACACUUGUCCAACAGAUAAAAAAAACUAGACCACGGAACGAGACGGAAGAGUUCUGGAGCUGCUCUAACCAGUCACACCGCGAGAAGCUUGGCUUCAACACAGAUAUCAAUCUCUACUCCAUUCCUUCUAAAUUAUAUGCGUCCCCUAUAUAACUUUGAAAAGUUUAUAGAAAAGUGCAUGUUUCAUCAAAUCUACCACGAACAAAGAAAACUCCAUUCUAUUAGUGCAUUUAUCUGAUCUUGUACACGCUAGUUAUAUAUUGAAAACUUCAACUUUAAAACAAAGUUAAAAUGACAAAAAAAUUGGAAGGGAGAAGCAUAUAAAUCUGAGUACUGGAACCAUAACAUUUCCAGAGUAAUUUCGUGAGAAAGAUCACAAACUGAGCAUAACUUAGUUGAUUGAGUUUCUUAUGGUGGAACCUAUCUAAAAUUCUAGUCCUUUACUUGACAUGAGUCCUGAAUUUAUUUAAGGAUUUAAUGACAUUAUUCUUCCAGACGUGUCCAUGAUAAAAAACGCAUUAUAGUUGUUCUUUUUUUUGAAAUUUGAUAUACUAGUGUAUUCAAAUCUCUAUAUUUAUAUCUCUACUCCUAAAAAGUCUAUAAGGACACACUCUGCCUUCCUCAGUUUUUUUUCUCAAAAAUCCUCUGUCUUUCUCAUUUUUUUGAAAAAAGACUCCAUGUAGAUCAAUAUUACAACAUAGCCAUGACUCACAAAUCUUCAUGUUCCCAAAACACGAUCAGCCACUAAAUCACGUGAUCUUCCUUUUCUGUUCUCCAAAAUUGCCGUUCCUCGAUGUCAUUGUUUUGCCGUCCCCUGUCGAUCAAAUCGCUUCCAUCGACUUGACCUCAACGAAUGAGUGUUGAGGUCGCACUCCUAAAGCAACGAGAUACAAGAGAUUAGGUGAGGCUGUGAAGGACCGAGAAAGGCGACAAGAUAGUGGUGGUGGGGGGGGGGGAGUAAGUGGGAGUCUAAUCCAUUUUUCUUUUGAUUUCGGUAGCUAUCCCAAAUCAAGCCCCAAAGCACUCAAAAAACCAAAACUCUAAGGAGAAGUGCACAUGAGUCAACUAGUGACUGGAUGCCCUUCGGAAGUCGGAAGGACUAGAGAACCCAGCAGAACACUCUCCAAAAUGGAGCAGCAGGCAAGGACACGAAUCACACAAAAGCGAAACCAAAAGGCUCUCAACUUCAACUUAAUUAACUGAAGCAAGAGCCCAAACUGAAAUCACCCAAGCCAUCUAGUGACUUGAUGAUUCCCAAAUUUUUCUUGACACCUCAGAAAGCUCAUGGAAGAAACGAGAAGUCAAACAGACAAUCAGAGCGCCUGGUGACACAAAAAAACCGAGAACAACACCCAGAGUGCAGAGGUUCCACACUUCCUACAGCACGGCGCUCCCAUGCUAGCAGAGUCCAGCAGCCCGAACCAAAGGAGAAAAAGUCAAAACUCGACCAAACAGACUAAGCUAAAAUUUUGCACACACCUUCUCAAGAAUGUUUACAAGAUAUCCACAAAAUUUGAGCUCCAAAAUAUCAAAGGUUAAAGCGUCAGCCCAAAAAACAAGCUCUCAAGGGAGCAGUACCGGUUGAAUAUUAGACCAAGGUCAGGAUGAGAUUUCAGAUGAGGUGUUCCCACAUAAUCAUAGGCCUUGUUUAGUUGGUGGUCAAAAAAAUUUUGGAUGUCACAUCGAAUGUUUGAUAGGAUGUCGGAAGGAGUAUUUAAAUACUAAUAAAAAAACUAAUUACAUAACUCGUCUGAAAACUGCGAGACGAAUUUAUUAAGCCUAAUUAAUUCAUCAUUAGCACAUGUAGGUUACCGUAGCACUUAAGGCUAAUCAUAGACUAACUAAGUUUAAAAGAUUCAUCUCGUGAUUUCUAACCAAAUUGUGUAAUUAAUUUAUUUUUUAACUAUAUUUAAUACUUUAUGUAUGUGUCUAAAUAUUCGAUGUGAUGGUUGAAAACUUUUUGGAUGGGGAACUAAACAAGGCCUUUAGUAGUAGUUAUCCUUGUCCAUAUGGCGGAUCGGGGGCGUUUGGUUCCCAGCCAAUGCUCGCCACACCUAACUUGCGGCUGCCCACCGUACCUUGGCUGGUGUUUAGAUUGGGCGCAAGCUGUGGCAGCACAUAUGUUUCAGUCUUUUUCUCUGCCACACUUCUUUAGCGGCGCCACAGCAACUUUGCAUGGCUGGUAGUAGCCAGGAACCAAACAGCCCAUGCGACUUCCGGUUCCAGGUAGCUGAACGGUAGCCAUAAAAUGGGUCAAUCAGUCCAACCCACUCAACCUAGUGUGAAAAAUCUUGGUAAAUGGGUUAACCCAAAAAAGACACAGGGUUUUCAAUGAUCAAUGGGUUACCCAAAAGGCACAGAAACGAUUAAAUUGUACGUAUUUACUCUGUUGCUGAACACCGUUGAUAAUGAAAAACAAUGUAGAGGAAGCUGUAAGUUGACUCGGAAUGAAUCAAUGCUGUGAUCUCUAGACUUUAUACAGCAAAUAAAUCCUGCAAGACCAAUCGAACUGAAGAUCCAGACAGAAGAAGGCACUCUGAAAAUCAGUUUGCAAGAUAAUUGAAGUGACAUUUUCAGUGAAGUGCAAAAUACAUGUUGAUAAACUACACUGUCAUCUCUAAGGUUAAUUCGUAAGCAGGAGUGGAUCCAGGAUGGGGACAAAUGGGAGCUAAAUAGUAAAGAUUUAAGUCUUAAGCUAGAUAUUAUUGUUGAUUUAAGACUAAUCAACACUAAUUUAAUGGAUAAAUCUGGCUCAUAGGGGGACUGUAGCUCACCCAGCACCCCUCUUUGGAUCUGCCCCUGUUCGUAAGCAUGAAAUGGGCUCACACGAGAUCCCAGUACAUAGGAUCAGGGCAAUCCUUGAUGUAAACUUCCGUCUUGAACAGUCAAGGAAUUGUGUAUAUCAUCAUCAUGUUUCAUAUGCCACAUAACCUACAUGAACUUAUGUCAAUUGAACUCUGAUGAACUUUACAAAAAUGUCAGUAAAAAGUUUUUUUUUUAGGAAACAGGAAGGGUUUCACCCCCUACUGGAAUUUAUUGAAAAAGACAAGAUGUACAAAGUGUUACAAGCCUCACUUAGGAGACAAAAAAAGAGUGGAAAAAGAUAAAAAAUAUUAUACAUAAGCUUGUAGCCAUGUCUUCAUCGAUGGUUGCAUGUCACUCUUUGCUCGUAGGAUAACCUGAGCAAAUUCUUGUUUGAAGAUCUCCUUACAGCGACGGAUAGAGUUGUCAAUGCCUCUGAAGAUCUUAUCAUUUCGCGAGGACCAAAUUGCCCAACACAUUGUUACUAUUACAUCCAUGAAAAAAGGUGCAAGAAGCUGAGAUUUAAGAAUUUCCACAAUUUGGCAAACGCUCAUACUAUUUGGCACUAUUACCUGAAGACUCCACCAACAAGAAAUUGAAAAAGGACAAUGGAAGAAAAUUCAGUAAAAAGUCAUGACUGAAAAUAUUGUUCGCUGAUUUAUUAUGAGAGAAAGAUACUGUUGAGUGGCAGAAAAAGUAUAGCUUAUAAGACAAGCGAAUGUGGACAUAGGACAAUUAACAUGGCACCACGUUACCAAAAACCACGAUAAAUCCUACUUAGGAUGCAAACAUAAUUGGUUUAAAAAGUUAAAGAAUAAAUAAAACCAGUUUUAUAGAUGAGGGGAGAAAAUUGGACGACAAUCCGACUUAGAGCAUCUCUAAGAGUACCCAAAAUAUACUCUCAAUUUAGGAUUUUUAGAAAGAUGAGAAAAAUUUUAUCCCUAACAACUCUCGAUCAAUCACAUCUCUCAAUCUUUUAGUACUUGAAAAAAUACAUCAAAACGCAUAAAGAUGCGCAUACCAAUAUCGUGCGUAUCCGUUGCGUUUCAUGUGCCUUCUCCUUUCCGCUGAACAAUUGAAGUUGCCGCCCUUAAAGACAUGUGCUCUCACUUUUGCUCCCACUUUCUCUACCAUUAGAUUAACAUUGAGAAACGUGCAAACACCACACUUCUCAGUGAGAAUCUAGUGGUGAAGCAAGUGAGAGCAGAUAUCCUCAAGAGCAAAAAAUAAUAAUAAUAAAAGAUAACUUGACCAUUUUCCCAAGGCGCCCAUGUGCUCUAGCUGAUUGUUGGUGCUGACCACCGACAUUGGAUCGUUCACGAUGAUCUACGACUACUAGCUCUAGCUUCGCUCCUGUUGUUGCUCAGGACACCUGAACUUUUAUUUAUAGGCAACACAAUAUCCCCCGCCACGCACGUCUCAUGCUGCGUCGCGCCCGUCUAUGCACGGGAACGUUUUAUACGCGUCGUGGUAGGAUCAGACUCAAGCCUCAUCGUGAACGCAGCAUGAGUCCGGCUGUUAGAAGAUGCAUCAAGUUGCUUGCUACUCAAGCUUACAAGGGAAACAUGAUCAUGCAACUAAGGAAACAAUCUAAACUGACAUGACGAAACAUUCGCUGCAUAGGAUUAGCUCUUUCAUUUCACCCCUCUAAUCCUGCUGCACUUGGACUACUCCCAGCUUCUCACGUAGCUCUGUAAACUUGACGCGCCCAAGAGCUUUGGUCAGAAUAUCUGCCAACUGCUCAUUGGUGCCCACAUGCUCUAUGUCGACUUCUCCUCUUUCAACACAAUCACGUACAAAGUGAUAGCACACAUCGAUAUGCUUGCUCCUAUCAUGGUGAACUGGAUUCUUGCUCAAUGCAAUCGCUGAUUUGCAGUGUAAUCAACUUCAGCCAAGCAUAAGGAGGAGACUCCGCAGGGGUUUGGCAAGGCUUGAGCGGAUCAAACUAGGAGACAGUGGCAACAGGUUCUUCAAUGACGCCUUCAAGAAGAAGACUCGUCACUAGCCCAGACGGAUCUGAGCUGGGCUUUCGCCCAAAACGCUUUGCCAAAGCUCUUGUUGACCCAUAAGAAACAGAGAGAGGCACAUCAACAAAUUCGUCCACGCCUGGACCGAAGAGGGUGGGGCGCUUGCCAGCUGCCGCCACACAGAACGGAGCCGUUUCCGGACUCGCCCGCAACAGUGCGAGGCAUGCACCAACAAUCAUCCACGCCUGGACGCCGGAGGUACUGGGGCCUUGCCGGCCGCUGCCACACCACGCGGAGCCAUUCUCGGACUCGCCCGCGACAGUGGAAGGCGCGUGCCGACAAGCGAUAACACUAGAUGAAGGGAGGUUGCUGGCCGCCUCCAUGCCGCGUGGAGCCGUUCUCGGACUCGCCCGCGAUAGUGGAAGACGCGCACCAGCCAGCGUGUGACAGUCGCCGCCACACCGUGCGGAGCCGCUCCCGGACUCGCCCGCAACGGUGGGAGGCGCGCACCGGCACGAUGCCCACGGACGCAGCCCCACCGCCGGCAAGCCCGCAGCCAAACAAUAAGCGCCGUGCAGCUGCUAGGUCGUGCAAAACAAGAGCGAAGAAGAGUGGGCAUGCUGCCCCGCCGCCGGCUUGCCCGUGCCUUGGCUUGGUUGGGAGAGUCCUUAGUCUUUUUGUCCAGCCAUGUGGGUCAAGCUUGGUGAAAAUGCUUCUUAAGUCUUAACAGUGGUUGGGGUGGGUUUUCAGAUGGAUCAAGAGUUGGAGAAGGUGUUUACCUAGUAUGAGGAACCGAUCGAAGUUUCAUCAAGCGAAGAGUUGAAGGACUAUGGACAGACUUUUUGAUUUUUUAAACAGGUAUCAUAUUAUGCUCCAGACGAAGUAAUUACCAAUGAGAUGACAGCCUGAUUAAAAAAGAUUCUAUCAAGAGAUAAUGUGAGUAUUAUUUACCUAUUAAUAUUAUGAUCCCAGUGUUAGUGGUCUUGCUUCCUGCAACAGCCAUGCUGAGGUUACUAAUUUUGCACUCAAAUGAAGAAAACAUAUGCUUGAAACAUAAAUAUUUUAGAGAUAGCACUGCACUACAGAUAUGCGGUGAAAAUGACGAUUUGCCUUGAUACCGAGCUGUCAAUUAUUAUGUACAAAGAUUUUUCAUAAGUCGGGCAUAUGUAAGCAUGCUUUUUUGUCUGUAUGUACUGAUAAUAAUACUAAGUGCACCGGUUGCUUUCACUUAGCCGGCUUAUAGUCGUAUACAUAAGUAUUUUAUAUCGUGCUAUAGUCCUAACAUGUCCAACUAAUUUUGUCCAAACAGUCAAUACCACCACUCCACCAGUGGUAGCCGGGACGAGGUCUAACGUUAAGUCUUUGUUAAUCAGUUUCCUGACUCCUCCAACAGACCAACACGGCUCAGUGCCCAGUCUAAUCUGGCAACCGUACGUUAUUAUUUUAGAUAGAAUUAUUUAUCACUCGAGUAGAGCCAAACUUGUCACUGGCACACGUUCGGGCAUUAGCACCGAUCGGGAAGGGACUGUUGCUCCGGUUCUCGAGCCGGUGCUGCCCUUCCGGGACUAAAGGCCCACCCUUUAGUCCCGGUUCGGGCAACCGGGGCCUUUAACACCGGUCGGUAAUAAAGGGUUUCUUUUUUUUUGGUUCACUUCUUUGGUUCUGUUUAUUGUUUUUAUAUAAUAUAUAAUAAUAGGUUUUUGCUGAUACAAUAAUAUAUUUAUAUUACACGCAUAUUAAGCAUAUAUAAAUGAAAAUUAUAGGCUUAGCUUAAUAAUUAAGCUUUGCCUAUAAUAAAAUGAAUAGACCACAUCAAAAAUUAAAUAGAUAUGUAAAAAGCUUUAUAUAUAUAUAGUUUUAUAUGUACAAAAUUCGUAACACAUAUAUACAUAGAGUUUUUUCUCCCAAUGUCUACAAACGAUACAAAUGAUCAUCGUUGUUUGGAAUAAGAGUGAAAGUUGCCGUUGAAGUGAAACUCGCCGUUUGAAUUGAUCACUUGGUCGCGGAGAAAUCCUGCUAUCGUCUCUUGGAUAGCUUUGAUUCGGUCUUGUUGUAGGACCUUUUCCCUCAGCCAUUCCGUCUUUAAUUUAAAAUAAAUAAAAAAGGUAUUAGUUAUCUAAGUUAUUCAAUAUAAUUCAGGAGAUAAUAAAACGAGACAUGUAACGUACUCUGAGCGUCUCUGUGGGUGUUUGAUUGACUUGUGCCAUCAUGAAUUUGCACACGUAAUAUGCACAUAGAUUGUUCCCCCCUUCUUGUCUUAAACACCACUGUACGAUAUAUAUAUAUAUAAAAAUAUUCACGACCACGACAAUAAGAAGGCUAAAAGUUAGCGAAAGUUUGUUAGCUAGUAGAACUUACUUGUGGAUGUAUUAUGUUAAGCGGCGCUUUACAUCCACUGAGAUGUUCACGGUCAAUGAAUCUUUUCCAAACCCUAUACACAGCCAUUGUGGAUCGUGAACUAAUAAUUACAGAGUCAUAUUAUGAUAUUUUUGUAGCUGAGAUCGACAUUACGUACCUUUGAAUAAUGUUUACCAUUUAUUGAUAAUUUUCUUGUGGUUUUCUCAUUGAGUCAAAGAUUAUCAACCGGUUCUUGGGAAUUUCAAUGACCAUGAGUAUCCAGUGAAAGCUGUUUACAUACACAUAUAUAUAUAGUCAGUCCUAUAAUGUAAAAUAAAAUAUGCAUGCACUUAAUAACUAUAUAACUCACUCGAAGUUGAAGAGGAAGAGUAUUUUUUGUUUUUCUUUUUGGUUCACAAAGAACCUCAUAAGAUUGGUGCAGACUUCUGUCUCAGCAUAUUGUCUAUCUUACGGUCUUCUUUAUGCCACCGCAACAACUUUGCAUUGUCCUUAUUUCUGAACAGACGUUUUAAUCGUGGUAUUAUAGGAGCAUACCACAUAACCUUGGCUGGAAUUUUCUUCCUAUGACGUUCUUCACCCUCAACAUCGCCAUGAUCAUCUCGUCUAAUCUUAUACCGUGAUGCCUUACAUACUGGACAUGCAUCCAAAUUCUCGUAUUCCUCCCCACGGUAGAGGAUGCAGUCAUUAGGACAUGCGUGUAUCUUCUGGAUUUCUAAUCCCAAAGGGCAGACAACCUGUUUUGCUUCAUACGUAGUGGUGGGCAAUUCGUUGCCUUUCGGAAGCAUCUUUUUUAUGAUCUUCAAUAACUGCCCAAAUGCCUUGUCAGAUGUACCAUUCUUUGCCUUCCAUUGCAGCAAUUCUAGUGUGGUACCCAGUUUUUUUUGCCCCUCUUCAGCGGUGGGAUAUAGCGAUUUCCUGUGGUCCUCUAGCAUGCGCUCGAACUUGGCUUUCUCUUUAUCACUUUCACAUUCUCUUUGUGCAUCACGGAUGGCAUCACCAAAAGCAUCAUCGCCCCGAUCAUCUUCUGCCGCCACCUCUUCUUCAUUAUCUCCCCCCAUUGCAACAUCAUUGAAGCCACCGUACUGAGCAAUAAUAUUGGCAUGAUCUAAUUCUUCUUCUUCUUCACCUUCAUCCAUUAUAAUCCCGCUUUCUCCAUGUUUGGUCCAACAAAUAUAGUUUGGUACGAAACCAGACUUUAAUAAGUGUGAAUGAAGAGUUCUUGAGUUAGAAUAUUACGUCAAAUUCUUGCACACGGCACAUGGACAGCACAUGAAACCGUCCCUCUUAUUUGACUCGGCCACACUUAAGAAAUAGUGCACGCCAUUAAUGAACUCUUCGAAGCGCCGAUCGGCGUUAUACAUCCAAUUACGUGUUACCAUCUGCAUUAAAUAUAACAUAUAUAUUAUGAAAACCAUGCACACAUAUAGUUUCUCAUCUUAUUGCACAACAUGUCUAAGAUACAUAGUUGAUUAAUUUACGAAAGCUUGGCUACAACAAAUACAAUCGCAACUAGCACUAAAAAAACCAAAACUAAAAUGCACUUAAGCAACAUAAUUAGUUCGCGUCCGAUCCCAACUAUAAUAGAUAGAUCAUUCGCUUCAUCAACAUCAUUGAACUUCUUUCGUCGGCUCACUGCCUCACCACCUUCAGCCUCAACCACCUGUGCAAAAGAUUUCUUAAUGUGUUCAAUGUAUUCUUCCUUCCAGUACCAACCUGUACAUCCGCCGGUACCGUCCCACUGAAAUUAAAAGAGAGAAUCAAAAGUUUCAUUAAUAUCAUUUAAAAAAAUAUGCACAUAUAUAAGCAAAGGUCUGGAAAUAACUCACAUUACGAUCUGGACACUUGUACCCUUGUUUACUCCCUCUUUCGACACUUUGUACUCCAUCAAAAUCUUCUGCCCACACUUGCCACAAGUAAUGAGAGGGAGUUCCGGACGGUAUCGCUUUUGAACCCGUUGAGAGACCGAAGACCCGGUCACGGUUGCCAUCUACUAUCCAUACUCAAUUUUUAAACAAUUAUAAAUUCCACAUUUACUAGUAAACAUGUAUGAUAUAAUGGACAUUAUAUGUAGUAAUAAAAAUAAAUCAAGUGAUAUUAACAAACCAAUUAAUUUGAACUAUCCUACUUUCUAAGAUCAUAAAAAUAUACUAUAAUUCAUUCUUGCAAACUACAUUAAAACUAGGUCAACCAUAAAAUAUGAUAUAUAUAUAUAUAUACUAAUUCAUGUGAAUGAUUCAAAAUAACAAAGUGGAUUUGAGCUAAAAAAUGAUGGGAACAUCACAAGCCAAAAACAACAUAAAAAGACAAGAAAGGCUGAAGUUAGUCACCUCCAAGCACGAAGAGACGAUGACGGAGUCGAAGAAGAUCAACGAUGGGCGUUGGAGAUGAAGAACAAAUGAAGAACAAGAAAGAAGAAGCUCCAAGAACAACAAUGGUGCUCUCGGUUUCAAAUGGACAGAGGGGAGGAGGGAGCCGGCCUAUAAACCGGACCUUUAGCACCGGUUCAGGGCAAAAACCGGUGCUAAAGGGUUUUCCUCGGCCCGUGGCUCUGGCCGGUGCUAAAGGGGUCUUUAACCCAGGGCCGCAAAAAGGCCGAGGUUUUUGGCCAUUUUGAGCAUCGACCAAUGCCUCAUUCUGUAGUAGUGUGUAAGAAAACAAAUCCAUGGGACUACAUGACUAUAAUGUGUCCUAUGCAACUGUCUUUUAGAAGAAUCAGCGGGGCAUCUCUUCAUCCACUGCUCCUUUGCUUCGAUCUGCUUGCUAGGCUGGUUACAAGUUCAAGUAAUCUUUGAAGAUGCUCACAAACGUAGGGUUGACGUGAGUGUACGUGCAUUGUUAGUAUUUGAGAGUCUUUUUUCAAGUAAUCUUUGCUGGGCUCCGUGCCGCUGCAGUUGUAGAUGGAGCAAAGGGCUCGGUUCCGGCGGCUAAUCGUGAAGGCGCGCUCGGCGAUGAUGCUGAUGGCCAAUACGUUGAAGUCGACGCGGCAGACGCCAUCGUCGCCGGUGGUGAGCCCUGGUGUGGGAAGCAAUGAAGGAGUUGUUGGCGUAGUCGAUGCCGAGGACGUUGAUAUUGUAAUCACCAAUGUUCAGAUGAAUAAAGAAUAGUCACUAUCUUAUGU